rnacentral:rRNA from 1 species
AGGACGAACGCUGGCGGCGUGCUUAACACAUGCAAGUCGAGCGAGGCCCUUCCUUCGGGAAGGUGCCCUAGCGGCGAACGGGUGAGUAACACGUGGGCAACCUGCCCCUAGCACUGGGAUAACUCCGGGAAACCGGGGCUAAUACCGGAUAUGACCUUUGAGGGCAUCCUCGAAGGUGUAAAGGAUUCUGGCUAGGGAUGGGCCCGCGGCCUAUCAGCUUGUUGGUGGGGUAAUGGCCUACCAAGGCGACGACGGGUAGCCGGCCUGAGAGGGCGACCGGCCACACUGGGACUGAGACACGGCCCAGACUCCUACGGGAGGCAGCAGUGGGGAAUAUUGCACAAUGGGCGAAAGCCUGAUGCAGCGACGCCGCGUGAGGGAUGACGGCCUUCGGGUUGUAAACCUCUUUCAGCAGGGACGAAGCGAAAGUGACGGUACCUGCAGAAGAAGCACCGGCCAACUACGCGCCAGCAGCCGC